AAUGAACGCUGGCGGCGUGCCUAACACAUGCAAGUCGAACGAGAAACUCCGGGCUUGCUCGGAGGAGUAAAGUGGCGCACGGGUGAGUAACGCGUGGGUAACCUGCCCCAGAAUCUGGGAUAACAUCGCGAAAGCGUUGCUAAUACCGGAUAUCGUCCUUAAAACUGUGGUUUUUGGGAUGAAAGAUGACCACUCCGUGGAAGUUGUCGUUCAGGGAGGGGCCCGCGUACCAUUAGCUUGUUGGUAGGGUAAUGGCCUACCAAGGCUGCGAUGGUUAGCUGGUCUGAGAGGAUGAUCAGCCACACUGGAACUGAAACACGGUCCAGACUCCUACGGGAGGCAGCAGUGAGGAAUUUUGCGCAAUGGGGGAAACCCUGACGCAGCAACGCCGUGUGAGUGAAGAAGGCCUUCGGGUCGUAAAGCUCUGUCAAGGGGGAAAAAAUCCUUUCGAUCAAUAGUCAUUAAGGACUGAUGAUACCCCUAGAGGAAGCACCGGCUAACUCCGUG
rnacentral:rRNA from 1 species